UAAUUGUUAAGUAUGCACAUGCAGAAACUUCCAAAACAAGAUUUCAUACAAAGGAAGCAGAAAUUUUCGGGUAGCAACAAAUGCUAAGAUUAGAACGAUUGUAAAUGGAGCUUGUUGAUGACUAGGAGAAUACUGCAUUUUCAGGUAGGCCAGAAAUAUCUUUGAAACCAUAUUUUCCUAAGACACCACAAUGAGGGUGAAUAUCACAGUAAAAUAUCAUACAGAAUUUAAUGUAUUCAAUUGGACCACUAGUCGGUCAUUAGAUGAACAUUAGUUAUCAGUCACAACUUGGCACUUCCAUAUUUCAUAUUUCUUACUCAGCAAUCACUAGACAGAGACAGCCACAUCCUAUAUCACCAGCAUCACUUUGAUAUAUUUAAAGUAGCACUGAUUCCAGCAUCAGAUUCCAGGUUCAAGGCUACUAAGGUAAAAACCAAUAACGUAAAGUAGAAAGGAAAAUCUAAUUUCAGUAAGGAACCAUCGUGUAUUUGAAAAAAUACAUAAGAUUUUGAUUCUAACCCAUAAGAAGAUGGAAAUAUUUUGAAUCAUUAGCAGUAAAAUCAUUCUGCCACAUAUAAGCAUGGCUUACAUAUCAAACUUUCAGGUUACUUACAAGACAACAACCUACAGGAGGAGCAGAACACUAAAGUCUAAUCAGGAUCAGAUUUCACUGUAUGUUCCAAAGAAAAAAUAUGGAAUAUGCACAAAAACCACAAAAUCUUAUGAAGAAGCCAUAGAAGGAAGAAUGGAUUAUAGUCACUGAUGGUUAAGACAGUGCAACAAACAGUCUCUUUCUUGUUUUUUCAAUCUUCUGUUACUAAAGAUAAUCACAAUGCCUCUAACAUCAUGAGGGUUCAGUUUUGACUUGCUUUGACUUGACGCUUAACCAGUCCAAAUUUGACCAAACCCGCCCACCAUUUUACACCCCUAAAUUCAGUCAAGAUUGUUGCUUUUCAUUUUCUAUACAACAACAACACACCCAAUGUAAUGGGAUCAGGGGAGGGUAGGAAUUAAGAUGCACACGAAGGACUUACCCCCUACCUUUGUGGGUAGGGAGAAUAUUUCCGAUAGACAACAAAAUAAUUUUCUUGACAUUCUUGAAGAUCAAAUGACGUUAGCUCUUACAGCAAUACUGGAAUGAUGGGUACUCUAUAUUAACAUAUAUCUAAAAGAAUACUUAAUGAACAAUAACAUAUCAACAAAACGAUCUCUCAAGAAAAACAUAUCAACUAAAUUGGCAUAGAAAUCUCAAAGAAAAGAAGAGAACAGAUUGCGAAAAACUAGAAUAUACAAAAAGCCUAAUCUGAAUAUCGCAUAAUAAGAUAAGAUCAAUCAAUUAUGUAGCCACAAAAACUCUAAAAACUAUAGUGAUCAAAGCCAAAUUAUUAUUUGUAAGCACAUACAAAACCCUAAAUUCUUGAGCAAACAAUUGAACGAUGAAGAAAAUAAGAAUCUAUACCUUACUGAAUUUCUAUCACAGAGUGUAAUUCAAUUAUUGUUGUUAAGCGAGAAUGAUGGAUCCCCUUGUACUUAACGCUCGACUCUUUUUAUACGGGCGUAAUACAUAAACGUUAUUCUUAACUUGGCUUCAACGAUAAUUAUGCCCUUCAACUUUGAGUGUGCACAAGUAAAUACUUAAACUUGUAUAAAAUUGAACAAGUAGACACAUGUAUCCUACAUGACAUAAUACAUGUAGGACGCCACAUAAGACACAAAAUUUUCAUGUAAAGUGUCAU
rnacentral:lncRNA from 1 species